UUAAGUUGACAGAUCCGACGUUUGUAUUCGAAAUGUUUCUUCUUCAGUGUAGAAAGAACAUAUUUUCUUAUUUUUAUUUCUCAAUCUCUCUUGAUCUCCACCUUUUUACAUAUUGUCUCUGUAUAUUAAUCUCUCGCUUACUCAUAUACAAGGUUUCCUUCAAAGAACUCACGUCGUACAAUUUUUUUUUUAUAGGGUCCAUUUUCGUAUCCAACAAACAUAUAAACAAGGACUAUAGAGACAAGCAUCAAGUUUUGGCUAACAAAGAAGUUUUCACUAAUGUAAUUGAGUUCCACUAUGAAACUAUUGUUGGGCGUAUCAGAGAGCUUACAUUUAUGAAUCCAAAAGCAUGGACGAAAUACUAGUUAAUGAUAAAUCCCCUAGUUUUUGAAACCCAAGCCCAAGUAGAGAGAUGAUCAUUUUUGAAGUACGGAGAAACCGAGAGGUUGCAGAGAAGAGAGAGCUAAUCAGUUGUAUGGUAGCGGUGGUGCGAGGGAGAACGCCGGUUUGAGAGGCCUCUAGUACUAAUCAUGCCACAGCUGCAUCAAGCGAUAGGUUAGUUGGGGGUUCGAUUCCCGAAAGCUCUGUAUCUUGUUGCGAAUCUGCCUGUCAACAAUCAAGAAGAGAGCAUGAACCGAUCGAAAGGUGUUAGAGUGGAGCCUUGUAUUCCUCUCAUUCCAAAUCCAGUAGAGUGAUGCUUGCCAAGCCAGAAGUGUGAUCAGUCGGGAGUUAGCCCUAGGAGGCAGAGAUAGAAGUUGAUCGAUCGCAUGCUGCCAAUUGCGAAGAGGAGCAAACCCACAUCUAGCCGCCACACGCGUCCAUAGCUGAAACGCCAUAUCACAGUCCCAGUAGAUGUGAUCACGAGAUUCAGGAAAAACAUUACAGAGGAGACAAAGAGGCUGAACUUGCAGACCCCAUUGGAGUAGUCUAUCACGCGUCGGAAGACGACUUUUAAUCACUAGCCAGGAGUGGAAACCAUGCCGUGGAAUCCCUUUCUUUGGCCAAGCAAUAGGUGUCCAUCGUUCCUCUGCAACAUUCCCACAUAAGCAACGAGGUUAAGCUGAGCAUCAGAUCUUGCUGGCGGAAGCCUCCAUGAACCGUUGCGGAAGAGAGAUGCAAUCGUUGCUCUUACCGGUAUUCCUAAGCGAGAGUGUGAAGCUGCAAGAUAAGUUUCAAGGCAACCAAAGGGGCUCCAGUUAUCAGUCCAGAACCUACCCGUUCUUCCAUUCUGCACACACAAGCGGAUGAGAGGAAUCACUUCCUUAAACCAGCAAACCUACACUGAGUUGAGGCCGAAAGAAGAGCAUCCAAAUGAGGCGAAGGAUGCAUGCUUUGUUCCAAAUAUAAACAUCCUUCACUCCCAAUCCACCUUGCUCCUUCGUAAGCACGACAGUAUCCCAAGCCACACGAGCACUAUUCCUGCUCUCUAUGUCUCCUCUCCACCUUGCUCCUUCGUAAACCUUUUAAAUUAAAAACAUUAAAUCAAAUGAAAAAUAAAUUAAUUUAACAUGAAGUAACUCAGUUUUAUUUACAACUUUAUUAAAUUAAUUUAUUUUAUAUUGAUUUAAUUUGUAAUUUAUUUUUUCAUAUUUUUUAAAACACGUGAUAAAAUGUGUCAUAU